AGGGGAAAGAAAUGCUGCUGUUAGUAAGGCUGUCUGUUAAUGACAUGAGUCAUUCCUCCAAUGUCAGCAAAGAAGCACUUAAUUCAUCCGCCAAUUAUAAAUUAACACUGUAACUGCUUUGCCAGUCUAAUUACCUCGCGAGCUGAGAGGAAAUGAGGGCUUGUUGUUCCUUAAUAGCCUUUCUUCAAUGAACUGCUUCAAACACUGGCCCUAAAAAUAGCAGGGAUGCGGAGGUGUGCGCAGAGCGAGACCUGUGUUUUGCUGUGAGCAGCAGGGCUUGUUCCUUCUGACGGAAAUUGGAGGGAGGAAAGUUUUAUUCUGUAAGCUAAACAGGUACAUCAGGUGUACGUGACAGACAGCCGGCUCUGGGUAAGACCCUGGGAGAUAAGCAUUUUCCUCACCAAGACUCAUCUCAUUGCCAUACAAGGAAGAUUUUAUUUUCCUAAAUAUUUUAAAUGAAUAUGAACUACUACUGGUCACGCAAGUUCACAGUAGAAAGAGCAGGAAAGAAGAUCCAGAAUGCAGCAGUCUUCACAAACCCUAUGUGAAAAAUAUACUUUGGACUGAAUAAUUGGGCAGAAGCAACAUGAACUAAUUUUCACUGGAGUGGCUGGAAAUGUAGUUGUGGCACUUCUCAGAACUGCUCUCUUACUGAAAAAAAACUGUUUGGAAUAUGAAGCCUCCCUGUGCUGUGACAGUAAGGUAAUGACUUAUACUCUAGAGCUCUUUGGGGCAGAGAGGUUUAUUAGGAAGACAGCACGGCAUCUUGUCUGUGAAGUGUAUGGAUUCUAUAUGAAAACAGCAAUUUAUCUUUACCUUCUAUCAGAAAUGCAAUGAGGCCAACAAAAACAAUUUUAUCUGUAAGUCUACUACUGGUGACACUAAUUAAGAAUGUUAGAUGUGUGAAUUUUGUAAUUCAGGUUGAACUGAUGUGAAAUUCUGAGCAUCAGGGUAAAAUUCCUUAAAUCCUGUAAACAAAAUAUGGAGAAAGAACUAUGCAAGUGAGUGUUUAAGACUGUACUUGCAAAAUGUGUUUAAAAACAUUAGAUGUUCUUACCUAAGAAACAUGUUAGCGUCAUAAUUGUGUAUUUUGAGUAAAAUGGUAUAAUUGUUUCACUAUCAUUAAUUCUCUUUCCAAUUCUUGAUUUUAUGUCCUUAUUUAAUACAUUUUUACAGACUUUUUAUUUGUUUGUUGUUUUUAAGGUAGUUGACCAGUUGAGAGUAAGGAAUCACAGUUUUUUUGGUGGAAUUAAAAUUUGUUUGCUGGAUCUUUCAUAAGAAGGCCAAAGUUGCCCAUGUAAGGAGGGAAAUAAAACUUUUCUUUGUAGUUUCAAUGACAAUGUUCAUGUGCAUUGGUUUUGUUUCCUGGAAAAUCUUACAUUGGCCAGGUAUGGACCUGUUGAUGUUGAGUAAAGUAAUUCUUUUUCAUUAUCCUUUCAUUUUGAGGUGAGGAGAAAAAAAUACAUUUUUAUAGCAUUAAAUUACAGUUGAGCAUGAUUGUUUACAUCUAUAUUUGUUUUCUUUAUUUAUAAUAUGUUUUUCUCUUGGUAUAAUUUGACUUAUGUGCUGAGAUGUUAGGAAGAUGCUUUUACAGUAGUUAUAAAUCUUAUUUUAAUCCUAGAGAAGGGAAUGAAUAAGUAAUACCACAUCUGUCUCAACUUUUU
rnacentral:lncRNA from 1 species